rnacentral:tRNA from 1 species
UAUGCGAGAGGUCCUCGAUUCGAAUUCGGGCUUGUCCAGGGCAUGUAGCGCAGUUGGUAGCGCGCUCGCUUAGCAUU